CGCAAGUGGUCUCACACAAAUUUUUUAAAAACCUAUAUAAAAGCGCACGCAAUCACUUUUUCUUCGCCCACGAGUGUUGCAAUUAUUGAAUAAUAUGCCUUUCCUAUAGAAGUUUGUGGGCCCUAAAAAUUAUCAAGUUUUAUCGUAUAAGAUCACAUGUCAAUGAUUACUGGAGUUUUGUUGGAAAUAGAAUUUAACUGGAGAUGCGACUACAAUAAGGAGGGUGAAAACUGUGUUUGUAAGGAGAAAUUCGUCUGGCAAGGAGACUACAAUAAUAAAAGAAAGAAACUCUUGCUGGAGCUGUAAAAGUACAUGAAGAAAACAAAGAAUUGCUGCUAGAAAUGGCCGCCGUCACUGAUUGAAUAUUCCUUCUAAGACUUCAUGGCCAACUACAGUUAUCUGCUAUAGCACCUGUCUCAAUUGAAACUGUUCCAUCCAGGUCUCUUUGUUAUCUUUUAUUGACUAGUUUUCCUGUAAUUUCCAUGCUUUUCACAAAUUUGAUUGUUGUAAGAUGUCAAUUUUCUGAUACGGGUAUUUUAGAUAUCAAUUUCUAUUUUGCUUUUGAAAAUCUAAAUUAACUUUUAAAAACUUAAGCUAAGUAACAUUCAGUUAAGAAAAAUCACAUUUUGGCUUUAAUAUUCGAGUAGCUUUUGAAUUAAUAUAACAUUCAGAAAAGUAAUCUUCAUUAUAAAGAUUUUUUUAAGUCAAAUUUUCGAAUUUAUUAUAAUUGCGAACAAAAUAACAUUGUUUAAUGAACGUUUCUGCUAAAUGAAACUCUUGAGAAAUCAGUUAUCUGUUUCGUCUUCAGGCACACAGCAUCCUCAACAGUAGAAUAUUCACGCUGUUGAAUUGUAUAAUUCUAUAUUUAUAAACAAAUACCGCCCUGAUUUUAAGAAGUAAUUUUAUCCGGGUCUCGUUCCCGUAUUGAAAAAACAUUAAUUUAAAAACUUAUGCACCGAAAGUUUUAGAAUGUUUAACGUGCAUUCUGAUGAAAAAGUGUUCAGAUUC